CACGUACUCCCUUUGUCUUAGAUUUAUCUAGAUAUGAAUGUAUCUAGUCACGUUUUAGUAUUUAGAUACAUUCAUUUGUAAACAAACCUAAGACGAGAAUUUUGGGACGGAGGGAGUAUAUU
rnacentral:pre_miRNA from 1 species